AUUGAACGCUGGCGGCAGGCCUAACACAUGCAAGUCGAGCGGAUGAAGGGAGCUUGCUCCUGGAUUCAGCGGCGGACGGGUGAGUAAUGCCUAGGAAUCUGCCUGGUAGUGGGGGAUAACGUCCGGAAACGGGCGCUAAUACCGCAUACGUCCUGAGGGAGAAAGUGGGGGAUCUUCGGACCUCACGCUCUCAGAUGAGCCGAGGUCGGAUUAGCUAGUUGGCGGGGUAAAGGCCUACCAAGGCGACGAUCCGUAACUGGUCUGAGAGGAUGAUCAGUCACACUGGAACUGAGACACGGUCCAGACUCCUACGGGAGGCAGCAGUGGGGAAUAUUGGACAAUGGGCGAAAGCCUGAUCCAGCCAUGCCGCGUGUGUGAAGAAGGUCUUCGGGUUGUAAAGCACUUUAGGUUGGGAGGAAGGGCAGUAAGUUAAUACCUUGCUGUUUUGACGUUACCAACAGAAUAAGCACCGGCUAACUUCGUG
rnacentral:rRNA from 1 species